GGGAAGAAAUACUAGAUAAGUUGAUGUAUUUUAAUCCAGAGAGAUGGAGCAAGGUUUACUUUAGCUUUGGAACAAAGUGUGAUGUUGUAGACAACAACAUGGCAGAAUGUUUUAAUGCAUGAAUUUUAGGAGCUAGGCACAAAACUAUAAUUACAAUAUUAGAGGAGAUAAGGGUAAAAAUGAUGAAAAGAGUGGGACAGAUGAGGAAUUUUUGUGAAACUUGGAUCAGUGACAUUUCUCAAAUGCCUAUGAAAGUACUAAAUGAUAAUACAGCAAGGUCUACGAAGUGCAGCAUAGAAUGGUAUUCUGAUACAGGGUAUGAGGUACUUGAUAGAGGAUAUAGACAUAUUGUGGAUCUUUCUAGACAAUAUUGUAGUUGUAGAGCAUAGAUGUUGAAGGGUAUACCUUGUCCUCAUGCAGUGGCUGCUCUUCACUAUAAAAAACUGGAUUCAGUAAACUAUAUCUCUCACUGGUACAAUAGAGAAACUUACAUGAACACAUAUAGUUUCUUCUUUCAACCAAUUUGAACAUGAAGAUAUGACCAAAAUUGAUACAAGAUCGAUAAGGAAGACACUAACACACACCAAAUCAGUCUAUGAUUUGAAAAACCGAGGACCCCUUUUAGUGACCCUUCUCGAAUUUACUACACAAUAAUAAUACAAGCACGAUAACAACAAGAUUCUAAGGUGUUCAACACCUAUAAUCAGCGAGCCACAAACUAAGAUUACAACACAAUAACAAGAACAAAAAUGACACAACAAGGUCUCGGGUUUGGACACCCAAAAUCGAGAAUGAACACAACAACAAUAAUAAGAUAGAAUGAUAGAUAACUUGACACACAAUGCACAAACACUAUGAACCAAAGUGUAUAUUGAACACUAAGACCCAAGAAUUCAUACAAAUAACAUCAAGUUCUUACGGUGACCUCAAGGGAACGGAAUCCCCAAGCAAUCAACACAAGUGAUUCCACACUUGUCACAAGUGAUAUCCACACUUGUAUGAACACUCUUAAAGAGCUCUCAAGAUGUCAUCUAAGUUAUGAGAAAAUGACCUAAUAUGUUCUAUUUAUAGCCUAUGUUACAACUUAUUACAAAAUGACUAAAAUGCCCUUAAUGAGCCAACACUCCAAAGCUUGUUCCAUUAGUUGGCCAGUUACCCUAGCACGAGUUCUUUACGUAUUGAUCCACAAUCACGAUAGUACUCAUAUCAUCCUUCUCUUCUUGAAAAAGAAUUCAACCUCAAAUCCGAACCUUUAAAACAAUAGAGGAGACAAAAGAACACAUAUUCCUCAUGAAAUGAGGGUUAAAGUUAGCAUAAUCAACAAAAAAAUAUCAAACCACGAGUGUACAUUCUAUACAUGCCAUGGGAACUUAGGGAAUAAGAUACCCUUCUAAGCACCAAAAGAAAUACUUGUCUAUCCACCUAAGCGUGACAAGAACAAGACAAAAAGAAAAGUGUACUUCCUUAGAGCAAGGACCAUAGUGUACUCUCGGGUUCUUCAUCAUCAAGAGGUCAAAGUGGAAUCAAGACCUCACCUUCUUCGGGCUAAGCAUCAUCAUGAGGUGUUCUCCUCGUUAAUCCGCAAGGCACAUUAACUUCCACUUCUUCCACCAACCUCUCGGGUUCACCAUUAUCUCCAUCAUCCUCUUGAGUGGUUUCUUCACUAACAUCAUUUUUGGUCACUUUAUCCCCAACAAAAUAAGGAUCGCCCUCCACUAGUACAAUGUUCCUUCGGUUUGGACACUCACUAUCUUUGUGACCCCAACCUUGACAUUUAAAACAAACGAUACCCUUAGGAUUAGGAGUGGAAGAAUUAGUACCCUCAAGUCAUGGAUACCUUUGGAUUGUUUUAUCAAAUAGUAACUUCUCUAUGGGAUUGUAGGACCUGUCCCACCUGAAGGUCUUCUUAGCAUGAUUGUUCCUUUCAACUUCAAUGGUCGCUUCUACAAGGUCCUCAAUUCGGUCAAACUUAUGGACAACUAAUUGAGAAACAACUUCAUAGCACAAUCCACCCCUGAACCGAGCUAAGUAAUGAUUUGGAGGUUCGACUAUGUCAAGAUGUAGGAUCAAGUUUUGAAACUCAUCAUAAUACUUCUCCACACUUCUGUCUCCUUGCCUCAAGUUGUAGAGCUUUGUUAGUUGCUCUUGUUUGUACCUUUACGUGACAUAUCUCUCCCUCAUAAGAGCUUUCAAUUCAUCCCAAUUAGGAAGGUCAAGAUUGUCAUUCCUUGCCCGUUGCAACCACUUUGUCUCCCACUAAGUAGAUGCAUAACCUUCAAAUUGAGCAAUGGCAUGUGCGACUUUCUUUGGGGAAGUUAACUCGUUGAGUUAGAAAAUUCGAUUACAUUGUAACUCCCAAUCAAGAUAGAGAGAUGGAUAACUAGUCCCUUUGAAAGAAGAAAGGGUGAUCUUAAUGGAAUUUAGGCCCGUGUAUCUACCCACAUUGCCUCCUUGUUCCACUAAACCUUCUUGAACAUGAGGUCGGUGUCCCAAGUUGCCCCUACCAUGAGGAGCCGGUCCAACUCUUCCCUCUCGACCUCUAUGUCCCCCGCCAUAAGCUCUUCUUCUAUUGCGCACAAAUUCCGCAAAGAGAGUUGUUUCAUCUAACCCCUCACCUCCAUAAAUACCCUCACCUUCCUCAUCAUCAACUUGGAUUAGUUCGUUUUGGUUUAGUGGUGCUCUCGGCAUAUCAAGGAGGUCUCAAAUUUGGGAAGCUUCUUGAUGGACUUGACUUCAAUUUUUUGGAUAAGUAGGGACUUAGUGGAUGGGUUCAUGGGUUGGUUUGGGUGGAUUGAGCAAUUGGGGAAAUAUAUCCGGGGUGGUAGCAUGUCCACUAAUCGAGGCGUGGUAGUGUUUCGGACUUGAAUGGUUGGAAUCUAAACGAACUUCCAAUGUAUCCAUUUUCCUUAGAAAGGAACCCUCCAUCCCAUCCAUCUUUUCCUCCAUCAUCUCCAUUCGACCACUAAGAUCAUGUUUCACGCUUAUUAUGGCUGCCAAUAAAGUAUCCAUAGUUACCUCUCUCGAGGCUUUUGGACUACCUUCACCCGAAGCCAUCGUACCUAAUAAGAAAUACUAAACAAAACACAAACAAUAACAAGUUAAGGUUAGCAAAAACCACCCUCACUAACUCUUAAGCUCACAUUUUUCAAGUAUCACUCAAUUGGUCUCACAAGUGUUGGUACACCAUUUUUACUCUAAUGAAGUUACUUGGUCCCACUUGCGGCUUAAGGUCGAAAUGGAUUUUUGUUUGCAAAGACUCAAAAUAAAUUUGUGCGUACUUGAGUCAAAAGGCUAUAACGAGUUUUUGAAAAUAUAAAAGCACACAAAGAAACGUAGACAUGAAUAAACGGACCCAAAGCUAAUUUAGAACCUAGUAGACAAUUACUAGUUUGUUAAUUAGCAAUAGAAUCAACAAAAUGCAACUAAGAAAUAAAGAUUAGAAACUAAGAAAUCAAAAAACUUGAGCUUACUUAUGUUGCGUGAAUAGUAAAACAUGAUGAUUUGGCAGCCACGUAAUUGGUCGCGAUCCCACAUAAUUUUUUUUUUAAUCACCAAUUUGAAGCUUUUGUCUUGAUACAAUUUGGAAUGGAUGAGUUUGUCUUUUGGUGGAAAAAUUCACAUCUUAGAAACUUUUUCAAAUUCCAACUCAAAAAGUGAGACUUGACUUUACUAUUCCCACAAAACAAGGUCCUUGAAAUAUGAAAAAGUGGUUGACAAGUCUUUGAAGUGAUGUGUUCAAGUCUCUUUACCAACAACUUUUCAACUUUAUCUUACACCUUUUUUGAAUCUAUGUUAUACUUUAUAUUGAUUAAGAGAUGUCAAGAUGUGAAGAACAACAAGAUCUCAACAACAACACCAACAUUCACCUCCAAGUCCACAACAAUUGCAACACACGACCAAGAUCAACAAUAUCAACAUACUGCCAACUUCCAAUUUACAUCAACAAGGUUAAUAACACAAGCUCAAACCUUUAGAUCUAGACACUUUAGUGUUGGUGAGAAAGAAACUAACACUAGAAACAAUUCAAACAAACAAAAGACUAUAAGAUCUAGCCACAAAGAAAUAUGUCUCGGCCAAGAACAAGAACAACUUCUACAUUUUCCUUUUUUUUGUAUUUUUAAGCUAGCUAGCCCAAGAUUGAUCUUAUGAAAACAAAAUCAAGUCAUGCUCUGAUACCAAAUGAUACAAGAUCGACAAGGAAGAUACUAACACACACCAAAACAAUCCAUGAUUUGAAGAACCGAGGACCCCUUUUGGUGACCCCUCUCGGAUUCACUACACAAUAACAAUACAAACAUGAUAACAACAAGAUUCUAAGAUGUUCAAAACCUAUAAUCAGCGAGCCACAAACUAAGAUUACAACACAAUAACAGGAACAAAAAUAACAUAACAAGGUCUUAGGUUUAGACACCCAAAAUCAAGUAUGAACACAACAACAAUAAUAAGAUAGAAUGAUGGAUAACUUGACACACAAUGCACAAACACUAUGAACCAAAGUGUAUAUUGAACACUAAGACCUAAAAAUUCAUACAAAUAACAUCAAGUUCUUACGAUGACCUCAAGGGAAUGGAAUCCCCAAGCAACCAAUGUUUCAAAACAAGCAACCAAUAUAAGUGAUUCCACACUUGUCACAAGUGAUAUCCACACUUGUAUGAACACUCUCAAAAAGCUCUCAAAAUAUCAUCUAAGUUAUGAGAAAAUGACCUAAUAUAUUCUAUUUAUAGCCUAUGUUACAGCUCAUUAUAAAAUGACUAAAAUGCCCUUAAUAAGCUAACACUUUAAAGCUUGUUCCAUUAGUUGACCAGUUAUCCGAGCACGAGUUCUUUACGUAUUGAUCCACAAUCACGAUCGUACUCGUAUCAAUAAUCACAGAAUAUCUCUGUUAUGCCACCUCAUGUUAGGGAGAUGUCAGGUAGGCUGGAAAGAAUAGGAAGAAAGAAGAAGGUGAAACCAAAAAGAAAACUGGAAAGUUGUCCAAAAAGGGGAUUGAGAUUUCAUAUGGCACUUGUCAUAGCAAGGGUCACAACAAAAGAAGAGGUCCAAUAGGUGCACCUGCUGCUGGCACUAAUGCAAAUCCUGGCCCAAGUUCAUCUGCUGGUGCAGACCCAAGUGCAGGUCCAAGUACAGUCCCAAGUGCAACACCUACUAUUGGAAAAAGGAGAGGUUCAAUUGGAAGAGAAAGGGAUAGACCAC
rnacentral:lncRNA from 1 species